rnacentral:misc_RNA from 1 species
GAUGAAGAACGCAGCGAAAUGCGAUAAGUAAUGUGAAUUGCAGAAUUCAGUGAAUCAUCGAAUCUUUGAACGCACAUUGCGCCCCCUGGUAUUCCGGGGGGCAUGCCUGUUCGAGCGUCAUUUCACCACUCAAGCCUCGCUUGGUAUUGGGCAACGCGGUCCGCCGCGUGCCUCAAAUCGACCGGCUGGGUCUUCUGUCCCCUAAGCGUUGUGGAAACUAUUUGCUAAAGGGUGUUCGGGAGGCUACGCCGUAAAACAACCCCAUUUCUAAGGUUGACCUCGGAUCAGGUAGGGAUACCCGCUGAACUUAAGCAUAUCAAUAAGCGGAGGA